rnacentral:rRNA from 1 species
CGUACACUCCUGCGGGAGGCAGCAGUAGGGAAUCUUCGGCAAUGGGGGCAACCCUGACCGAGCAACGCCGCGUGAGUGAAAAAGGUUUUCGGAUCGUAAAGCUCUGUUGUAAGUCAAGAACGAGUGUGAGAGUGGAAAGUUCACACUGUGACGGUAGCUUACCAGAAAGGGACGGCUAACUACGUGCCAGCAGCCGCGGUAAUACGUAGGUCCCGAGCGUUGUCCGGAUUUAUUGGGCGUAAAGCGAGCGCAGGCGGUUUGAUAAGUCUGAAGUUAAAGGCUGUGGCUCAACCAUAGUUCGCUUUGGAAACUGUCAAACUUGAGUGCAGAAGGGGAGAGUGGAAUUCCAUGUGUAGCGGUGAAAUGCGUAGAUAUAUGGAGGAACACCGGUGGCGAAAGCGGCUCUCUGGUCUGUAACUGACGCUGAGGCUCGAAAGCGUGGGGAGCGAACAGGAUUAGAAACCCCAGUAGUCCCAUG